UGAGUUGCUAUGAAGAUUAAAUGAGAGACAGCAUGUAAAGAAUAAUAUGUUGCCUGGAACAUAAUUAAUACUCAUUAAAUGAUUGCUUCAAAAGGAUAACAAAUCACACUUUGCCCCUCACUAGACAGAGAGAAAAGUCAUGGAGAUGAUUUGGCAUUGCCUCUAAGAAAUAAAUGUAAUACAUUAUUACUAAAACCAGGUCCUUUUGAAUGGAUUUGAUUAAUUUAGCCUGGUAUCUGUUGGGCUAAAGAAUAUAGUUAUGAUAUGCUUUUAGUUUUGUCCGUGAAUAAGAAACUACAUGUAUUGUUUGAAACCACUCUAAAUUCCCUUCCAACACAUUGUCUUCUAUAAGGCUAACUUUAAAGUUCAAUAGCAGGGCAUAUAAACCAUAUAAAAAAUUUCCCCAGAUUCCCCAAAUUAGAGACGAGUUAGGUUUUCUGAGUACACUCCUGUGAAGGUAAUGGGCAUAUUUAACUUCCUGUGGCAUGAAUAGAACUGUCCCAAUUGUGACCUUAACACUGCACAUACUAUACAAAUAAUGAAAAUAUCUCGGGGUUUUUCUAGCACUUUAGAAAAUAUCCUGACCAUUACAGCUGAUAUGUUUUUCAGUUGUAAAGAAAUCUUUUUGUGUAUGUGUGUGCGUGCAUGUGGGCACAUCAUUUUGGGAAU
rnacentral:lncRNA from 1 species